rnacentral:rRNA from 1 species
UACGUAGGGACCAAGCGUUGUUCGGAUUUACUGGGCGUAAAGGGCGCGUAGGCGGCGUGGUAAGUCACUUGUGAAAUCUCUGAGCUCAACUCAGAACGGCCAAGUGAUACUGCUGUGCUAGAGUGCAGAAGGGGCAAUCGGAAUUCUUGGUGUAGCGGUGAAAUGCGUAGAUAUCAAGAGGAACACCUGAGGUGAAGACGGGUUGCUGGGCUGACACUGACGCUGAGGCGCGAAAGCCAGGGGAGCAAACGGG